AUGAUGGGAGUGUGUCCCAUCCAGGUCAAGCAUGCUGAUGGGGAGCGUGAAAGGUUAGAAGCUGAAAAUGUACGAAAAUAAUAUGACGAGGCCAACAGAAAGUUAUCUAAACUAAAAUCAAGGAUAUCUCGCUUAAUAAAGAAGCUAGCGCAUGAUUUUGGACUAGAGAAGGAAUUCUACUCGUGAUAUGGUCAAUGUUUUGAAAG
rnacentral:lncRNA from 1 species